rnacentral:tRNA from 5 species
GGGCCGUUAGCUCAGCGGUUAGAGCAGGGGACUCAUAAUCCCUUGGUCCUAGGUUCAAAUCCUAGACGGCCCACCA